AAAAAGAAAAAAAUAAAAAUAAAAGCAAGAUUAGGGAUAACAGUUUGUAAAGAGAAAAAAUAUGGAGAAGAAAUACCACAGAUUGAAGAGGAAGGAGAGGAAAUCUGAGUUUUGGAGGAGUUUUGGGCGGAUCUGAUGCAGGCUGGGCACAGGAAGUGGGUGACCGGACUGGGAGGAGGAAGAAGAAGAAAAAAAAAAAUGAAAAAG
rnacentral:lncRNA from 1 species